rnacentral:lncRNA from 1 species
UGGACCAGGCCCAAGGAACCCCACAACCCUAAUCAGCAGGAGUGCUGGAUCAGUGCUGUCUAUGACGAAGCAAUUCAAGCCAUGUUGAGCAGAGCAAGGACGAGUGACAGCGUGGGAAAUGUUUCACUGGAAGUAGCGAAAAGCAAGAGCCUGCAGCCCUCAUUCCCUGGGGAACUGGGAGAAGCCAAGCUAUUUCUGUGUGAAGACUUGCCAGUUUUCAGUUUGCUUCCACCUCAUCUGUAGUUCUUUGAGCAUAUUGACUUGGAAAUUAAAAUGCUCACUGUUUUUUCUCUUA